AGCGUAAUUGAGGUAAAGGUACGUAGG
rnacentral:sRNA from 1 species